UGGCUCAGUGGUAGAGUGCUUGCUUUGCAUGCAUGAGGCCCUAGGUUCGAUUCCUCA
rnacentral:tRNA from 1 species